rnacentral:ncRNA from 2 species
ACCCCAAUAUUUUUGGGGCACUCGGGAAGGCUACCUUAAUUGAGAACGUGUGGGUGAGUGAAAAUUUGGCUAUAUGCUGGAAUAACUCUAGUAUCCGACAGUACCAUUCCUGGUGAAAAUCUGUUCGGUGGAGUCAACCAGCAGGCAACCCUGGAGAAUAUCCAGGAAAGUCCUCAACGACUAUACGCCAGACUACAUUCAGUUUAGAUGAAUGUAGAAGAUAUAGUCUAAACUUUAUGGCGACAUAAAG